rnacentral:rRNA from 1 species
UGAGUGAAGAAGGCCUUCGGGUUGUAAAGCUCUUUCGCAAGGGAAGAAAACUUACACAAUAACACUGUGUGAGGCUGACGGUACCUUGAUAAGAAGCACCGGCUAACUACGUGCCAGCAGCCGCGGUAAUACGUAGGGUGCGAGCGUUAAUCGGAAUUACUGGGCGUAAAGCGUGCGCAGGCGGUUUGGCAAGUCAGAUGUGUAAUCCCCGAGCUCAACUUGGGAACUGCGUUUGAAACUGCCAGACUAGAAUAUGUCAGAGGGGGGUAGAAUUCCACGUGUAGCAGUGAAAUGCGUAGAGAUGUGGAGGAAUACCAAUGGCGAAGGCAGCCCCCUGGGAUAAUAUUGACGCUCAUGCACGAAAGCGUGGGGAGCAAACAGGAUUAGAUACCCUGGUAGUCCACGCCCUAAACGA